rnacentral:lncRNA from 1 species
UGACUAAGUGAAAUGUAAUCAACACCAUCUUACCUAAUGAAACCCGUCUUUGGUCGGUGGCUGAGACGCCAUCUGUAGGCAGUGAAAUCUUUCCAGCCUAUGUGACGAGGGUCAUGCCACAGAGUGCGCACCUGAAGGAAAAGGAAAAGGUUGAAACAUGGCUGAAUCAAGAUUUCUAUUUCAUUCUAUAGGAAGGAGUACUUGAAGGGUACCAAAUGGGCCUAAAUUAGAGGGCUGCAAUGUUGGAUUUUUUCCAAGACCUUUCACUUGAUGUGUGGCCUUGAAUCAAGGAAUCAUGUUGUGUUUCCUUGAAACACAGGAAGCAGAAAGAGGAAGGAAAGUUUUGUUUGAAGAGGCUGAAACGGUCUUUGGAUUUGAAGGGAACUCUUGGUUACAGGGAGCUCCCCUCUCAGAGGCCGCCAUUUGGUUUUUACAAAGCAAAACUUAAUGCUGGGGUUGCUGGGGCCGGGAACUUGAUAUCUAAGACUGCCUGGGGCUAGUCUUGGCCAAAGCACAGGGUCCCUAGUGCUUGUCCAGCACCUUCCUCGGGGGCCUUGUUCUCACCUGGCCAGGGGUGUUUCCCGUGUGCCACAGGGCGUUCCGUAGGUGCUCGCCUGGCCCUGUUGUGGAGUUCACCACUUUCACAGAAAGGC